UACGGAGGGUGCGAGCGUUGUCCGGAAUCACUGGGCGUAAAGGGCGCGUAGGUGGCUCGUGAAGCGUGCGGUGAAAGUCCGAGGCUCAACCUCGGAUCGGCCGUGCGGACUCGCGGGCUCGAGCGUUGUAGAGGCGGGUGGAAUUCCGGGUGUAGCGGUGGAAUGCGUAGAGAUCCGGAAGAACACCGGUGGCGAAAGCGGCUCACUGGACCACAACUGACGCUGAGGCGCGAAAGCUAGGGGAGCAAACAGG
rnacentral:rRNA from 1 species